AGUAACCUGCCUUGGAGUGGGGAAUAACAGUUGGAAACAACUGCUAAUACCGCAUGAUGCAGUUGGGUCGCAUGGCUCUGACUGCCAAAGAUUUAUCGCUCUGAGAUGGACUCGCGUCUGAUUAGCUAGUUGGUGAGGUAACGGCUCACCAAGGCGACGAUCAGUAGCCGGACUGAGAGGUUGGCCGGCCACAUUGGGACUGAGACACGGCCCAGACUCCUACGGAAGGCAGCAG
rnacentral:rRNA from 1 species